CUUCUGUUUAAAGCACUUCUUCUCUCUCCUCCUUGCCCCUUUCUCCUUUUACAAACCUACCACUAUCAAAUUUGAAGGUGCCUGGUUCACUGGAGUCUGGGAAAUGGCCUUGGCAGGAUGUAGAGAAGCAAGGGCCGAGGCCAUCCAAGGGAGGGCUCAGCUGCCUCUCUUUGGACCUCCACUCUGAUUUCAAGGCUGGGGCUGGGAAGAGUGGCGCCUGUAUUUAGGUCCUGCCAAGAACAGGUUAGGCAAGCCUGACAACAGCUGCUACAUCCCUAAUGCCUUUCUCUAAAUGUCAACAAUGAGAACUCCGGAGAGCUGCCUUUCUGCACGGCUCCCAGCAUGCAUUAAGACUCAGCUGUGGCAUUUAGGCGGCUUAUGCUUCCCUUCAGAGACAGGAUGUGUGCACACUCAAAGAUAAUGGCGAGGACCUCGCCACAUGAACCAGGAGGAUGGCCAUGGAUAGAGGAAUAUGCAAGCAUUUAACAAAUAUCUGGUGAGCACCCGUUGAGUGCUACUGAGGCUGGAGAGAGGAAACGUCGAGGGGACACAAGAAGGGAAAGAGUCUGUGAGGUCCGGUUUGUCUUUCCUGAUGGCAGAGUGAAGAAACUUCAACACCAAAAUUGCCUGGGGAGAUAGCAUGUGUUUCCCAAACCAUCCUAAGCAUGAGUGUUAAGAACAAUAAACUAUGCUUACUGGAACCUGAA